UACGGAGGGGGCUAGCGUUGUUCGGAAAUACUGGGCGUAAAGCGAACGUAGGCGGCUUGGCAAGUCAGGGGUGAAAUCCCAGUGCUCAACACUGGAACUGCCUUUGAAACUGCCAGGCUUGAAUCCUGGAGAGGCGAGUGGAAUUCCGAGUGUAGAGGUGAAAUUCGUAGAUAUUCGGAAGAACACCAGUGGCGAAGGCGACUCGCUGGACAGGUAUUGACGCUGAGGUUCGAAAGCGUGGGGAGCAAAGCAGG
rnacentral:rRNA from 1 species